rnacentral:rRNA from 1 species
UUUAAAUGUAAAUUGUAUAAACUUGAGUAGUAAUAGUUAUGUUCUUGAAACUCAAAGAAUUUGGCGGUGUUUUAGUCUGUUCAGAGGAACCUGUCCCGUAAUCGAUAUUCCACGUUAAACCUUACUUAUUUUUGUUAUCAGCUUGUAUACCGCCGUCGUCAGAAUGUCCUAAGAAGGGUUUAAUUUUCUUAAAUUUUCAUUAAAAAUGAUGUCAGGUCAAGGUGUAGCUUACGAAUAAGUGGUGAUGGGUUACAAUAAAUUUAUUUAUAACGGAUAAAGUUUUGAAAUAAACUUUUGAAGGUGGAUUUGACGGUAAUUAACUUAAUUAAAUUAAUUUGAUUUUAACUCUAAAACAUGC